GUACACUCCUACGGGAGGCAGCAGUGGGGAAUAUUGGACAAUGGGGGCAACCCUGAUCCAGCCAUGCCGCGUGAGUGAUGAAGGCCCUAGGGUUGUAAAGCUCUUUUGUGCGGGAAGAUAAUGACGGUACCGCAAGAAUAAGCCCCGGCUAACUUCGUGCCAGCAGCCGCGGUAAUACGAAGGGGGCUAGCGUUGCUCGGAAUCACUGGGCGUAAAGGGUGCGUAGGCGGGUCUUUAAGUCAGGGGUGAAAUCCUGGAGCUCAACUCCAGAACUGCCUUUGAUACUGAGGAUCUUGAGUCCGGAAGAGGUGAGUGGAACUGCGAGUGUAGAGGUGAAAUUCGUAGAUAUUCGCAAGAACACCAGUGGCGAAGGCGGCUCACUGGUCCGGUACUGACGCUGAGGCACGAAAGCGUGGGGAGCAAACAGGAUUAGAAACCCUUGUAGUCCC
rnacentral:rRNA from 1 species